AAUUUUAGCUCUGUAACCAUUUACAAAGUCUGUUUUAAAAGUUGUGUAGUGUAUUCCAGCCUUAAGUAAUAAUGUAAAGGACUAUCCGUCCUUGCUAACCUUGAGCUGAAGGAGGCCAAAUCUGGGACCUGCAUUGAGGAUGUAGAGAAGAUGGUCGUUGUGAGUGUCAUGAUCCUCUGCCUCCAACACUACACUGGAGAUGAGUCUCUUCCCCAGGGCCUCGACCUCAAUGCCUGCAUUUCUGAAAAGAAAGAUCAAAACACUUUGGACACUAAAGAGCCUCAGGAAUACUACUGACCCACUCGGAGUCCGGCAUUGCUUUUCUCAAAGCCAGGGGAUGGAAGGGUGUUUUCCAGGAACCCAUUUUGUGGUGGGGUCACCAAGUGAAACUUGAGCUGAUCUGGAUGACUAUCAGAAUCGGUUGCCUCCAACACUCCCCCACACAGACAUGCACUGGCACCUUCAUCUACCACAAACACGGAACCUGACGAAACAAUAUACAGCAUAAUGUAAGAAGUUAUACAUUGGUAUUAAUCAUAGAGAUCUCAUUUAGAUAGCUUGAUGUGACUUCAUAGGCUUUUUUUUCUUCUCAAGAGUGCAUCCCUAUAUUUUUCUUCUUCUCCCUCUCAUUUACAGGCAGUUCCCCUUGCUCCCCUCUUUCUUCAAGCCUGCUAUGCCACCCCACUAACACUCCCUCUUUUCGCCUGCUCUCUCACUCGGCUCUCGGCCAGCCCGCUGCCACCUGGGUGUUGAUAAAGCCAUCAUGCCAAUGCUUACUGGCAUCUGCUUCCAUUUACUGCACUGAUAAAUAAUGAACGGAGAAUGGGCACUGAUGAGGUUGUGCUUGGAUAGAGCUCUGAAACAAGGGGAGGAAUUAAUGACCACCAGUCUGGAAUAAAAGUGAUAAAACUCGUCCCAUAGCAAGGCAAGAGCUGGAUUUCCCUCAUUUUCCUGUGCUUAAACCUCUUAUGCCAACCCAUCUUUAUUCAAUGCAAAUUAAUUAAAUGACUACUUUUUUUACACAAACCAGUCCAUAUCUACUACACGGUGG
rnacentral:lncRNA from 12 species